AGAAGAAUCACUUUAUUAAUAAGAGAAGACAGCUAUAUAGGUGCGUAACAUUGUCAGGAGGCGCCGUUGCAAAGGGCAGCCAUCAUCAUCAUCAGCAGCAGCCAAACGUAAACAAACCAAGCCUGACACUCGUGCUGGACGCCGCCCACGGGACCCCGCCACCCAGCGCCCUUUCCCUCCCACUGGUGACGUGCCCUCCAGGCUGCUGGCCCAUCACUGCCCCUGAAGUCAUCAGUGGAUGGCAGACAUGAGUGAAGCAGUCCUCUGGCCGCCACAGCAGGUUGGGGACCUGUAACACUGACACUGCUCCAAUGGAACCAGACUUGAACGGUGCCAGGGAGACCAACGCUGUGUGAGUGUCCCAGUGGCUUACUGUGCUGCGCCACGUGGAGGUUGAGCCGCUGGACCCACCACCCAUCGGCAAGUGUUCCAGGAGGCAAGAAGGAGUGACUCUACACCAUGGAAUUUUGACAGACCUCCUCCUCCUGCCUUCAAGUCUGGCCAAGAUGUGUGAAGAAGAAGAGGAAGAAGAGGAAGGCUCAGGAGGAAGGAAAGUCCCUCACUGCAUUAAGACUCAAGGGAAGGAGCCGAGAUGAGACCAGACUCAGCCCUCCAGUGAGCCCAGGUGACCACCAGGGGGACACCCACGCACCUCAUGGCUUAGGGGAAAAUGCAUGAAGGUGGUGGGUGAGUGAAGCAACGCACCCCCUGUGUAUGCUCAGGUCCCAGGCUACGUCAGGUCAGGGGCUGCCUCAAGAACAGGUCAUUUAUCUCCACACUUUCCUCCAUUUUUCUCCUGUUUUCUCUACCUCUUCCUCUUUUCCUCCUAUGCCCAAAAAUUGCUUAAUCUUUCCUCUUCCUCCCCCUGUCUUCCGCUUCUUCCUCCUCCUCUUCGUUCCUCUCCUAUCUCCACUGUUAUCAAGGUCUGUGUAUUUCUCCAAUGUGAUUUUGGUGGUUUCAUUAUUUCCUCCUCCAAGUUCAAGUCCAUUUUUCUCCCUUUUCCUUCCUCUCUUCCUCCUUUCCUCCUAUACCAAAAAAUAGCUUAAUCUUUCCUCUUCCUCCUCCCAUCUUCCUCUUCCUCCUCAUCCUUUUCAUUUCCCUGUUAUCUCCACUUUUAUCAAGGUCUGUGUAUUUCUCUGGCAUAAUUUUGGUGGUUUCAUUCAUUUCCUCCUCGAAGUUCAAGUCCAUUUUCCUCCACUUUCCACAACCUCUUCCUCCUUUUCUCCUACACCAAAAAAUAGCUUACUUUCCUUUUCCUCCUCCUCCUUUUCAUUCCUCUCCUAUCUCCACUUUUAUUAAGGUCUGUGUAUUUCUCCAGUGUAACUUUAGUGGUUUUGUUCAUUUCCUCCUCCAAGUUCAACUCCAUUUCUCUCCCUUUUCCUUCCUGUCUUCCUCCUUUCCUCCUAUGCCAAAAAAUAGCUUAAUCUUUCCUCUUCCUCUUCGUUUCCUUGUUAUCUCCACUUUUAUCAAGGUCUGUGUCUUUGUAAACUUUGCAGAAUGGACGAAAAAAACACCAGAAAUUGCUUGUUUAUUUAUUGAGCAAACUGACACUUCUUGCAGAGA